UACGUAGGGGGCAAGCGUUGUCCGGAUUUAUUGGGCGUAAAGAGCGUGUAGGCGGUUUGGUAGGUCCGUUGUGAAAACUCGAGGCUCAACCUCGAGACGCCGAUGGAAACCAUCAGACUAGAGUCCGGAAGAGGGGAGUGGAAUUCCUGGUGUAGCGGUGAAAUUCGUAGAUAUUGGGAAGAACACCGGUGGCGAAGGCGGCUCACUGGCUCAUUUCUGACGCUCAGGCGCGACAGCGUGGGGAUCAAACAGG
rnacentral:rRNA from 1 species